rnacentral:lncRNA from 1 species
GUGCAUUUGAAAAGCGGCUUCCGGCGGAGCCGAGGGUAGUCACGUGGUCUCUACCGGUUUCUUGGUCGUGCACUGAGGGCGCCGGGCUGAGCCUCCUGAAACAGCUCCCGGGGCUCCAGAAACCGCCCCCGGGGAAGGGAUGGGCGAUGGGGUUGAGGGAGGUGCUGCGCCUUGGCCUGUCGGCCGGGUCUGCACCAUUUCUGCAGGGUGUAAGCAUCGCAUGAAACCAUCCGCUUAAACCACGUUUUAUUUUUCCCUCCAGAUAAUGUGAUAUUUGCAGCCCCCAGCGACUGGACGAAGGCGCGCAAUCAUUUCUGCAUCCUCCUGAGAGUUGCAGGCGGUGGCACAGGUCUGAGAGGAAGUCCUAGGAGACUGUGUACGUGUCACAGGGAGACUGAUGAGACCAGAAAGCCUUCCGGGAGUGGAACCUUGAGCUGGAUGCUCUUGGAGGAGUCCAAGUUUGCUAGAAAGGCCAGAAGACAGCAGGAGCAAAGACCCAAGGCCUUAGAAAGUGUGGCGAUGUGGAGGAACUUAAGACCCUAAUAGCCUGAGCAAGCUGGGGUGUUAAGGUGGCAAGGUAGGGGAGGGCCAGACCCAGGGCCCCAGGGCUAUGUGAGGACCUUGGUCUUUGUCCUAAGAAUAUAAGGUGCCCUUAGAUUGUUUGUUUAGAGACAGGGUCUCUUGUAACCCCGGCUACCCUUGAACUCCUGUAGUUGAGGAUGGCCUUGAACCUAGCCUCCUGCCUCCACUUCCUGAGUGCUGGGAUUACUGGAAUGCUCCAUUAGUUUCAGAAGAUCACUGUGCACACAGUACAGUUCACACAAACUCUGGUGAUGGAAAUAGUCUGCUUGGAUGCAGAGCAGCCCCAUGCCUCAUUGUGGCUAUCAGACGUCUGCAGUGUGAGAGACU